AUAAUGUACAUUUAGUGGAUGCCUAGAGUAAAGUGAUUUUGGACGUAUAGCGAAACGAAAAGCUGUGAUCUAUUGUCGUAAAACAAGUAUGAUCCAGAUCUCCAUAGAGGAAACUCAAUAAAAGAUUUAAACCUAGUGAAUUGAAACAUCUUAGUAACUAGUGGAAAGAAAAUCAACCGAGACUCCGUGAGUAGUGGCGAGCGAAAGCGGAAUAGGCCUUUUAUUAUUAUUUUUGUAUUGUAUCAUGGUUGGCACUUUGCCAUAAGCUAAGUAGUUUGAAAUAACACGCCAGAGAAGGUUAAAGCCCUGUGUAUGGUAUUAUUUCAUAAUACCCCAAAGUAUACUAAAUAAUAAUAAUGCAGAGUAAAACGAGAGCAAACUUGUUUGAAAAUAGGGGGACCACCCUCUAAGCCUAAGUACGCACUUUACAUCGAUAGUGAACUAGUACCGUGAGGGAAAGGUGAAAAAGAAGUGAAAUAAAUACUGAAACUGGAUGUAUACAAGCACUCAAAGCUUUGUAUUUUUCUACAGAGUAAUGGGGUACCUUUUGUAUAAUGGGUCAACGAGUAAAUAAAUGAAGCUAGCUUAAGCAAUAGUGUGGAGGCGCAGACAAAACGAUAAAUUUUCUAAUUAUUGAAAAUAGAGUGUCAUUUAUUUGACCCGAAACCGAGUGAUCUAGUCAUGAACAGGUUGAAAAAUUUUUAACAAAAUUUGGAGGACCGAACCCACGUCUGUGGCAAUAGGCGGGGAUGAUUUGUGAUUAGGGGUGAAAAGCCAAUCGAACUCGGAGAUAGCUGGUUUUCUGCGAAAUUUAUUUAGGUAAAGUCUAAAGUUGGUAAUCAGGGGGUAGAGCACUCGUUGGGUAAGGGUGGCCCAAAGCCUUACUAAAUCCAAGGAAACUCCUAAUACCUGCUUACAAAUCUUUAGAAUCAGACUUUGGGCGCUAAGGUCCAAAGUCGAGAGGGAAACAGCCCAGACUGAUCGCUAAGGUUCCAAAGCGUAUAUCUAGUGGUAAAGGAAGUUAUAAAGCCUAGACAACCAGCAAGUAGGCUUAGAAGCAGCCAUCUUAUAAUGAAAGCGUAGUAGCUCAUUGGUCUAAUUUCGUUUAUUAAAAAUAAACAAUGUAUUACACUUCGUGUAAUAUAGGCUUUGUAGCGCCGAAAAUGUAACGGAGCUCAAAUAUACCACCGAAGCGGCGGCUAUAUCUUUAUUUUUCUCUAAAGAUAUAGGGUAGCAGAACGUUCUGUAAGUAGACUAUGAGGAAUAUGUAAGUAUUUCUUUUAUAUAUCAGAAGUGAGAAUGUUGACAUGAGUAACGUAAAAUCAUGUGCGAUUCAUGAUCGCCGAAAAUUCAGUGUUUUCUACAUACUAGAAUUUAAUGUAGAGUUAAUCGGCCCCUAAAUAUAUAAGCGAUUGCUUCUAUGUGAUGGGUACAAGAAUGAAAAUUUCUUGAUGUUUUUUUCGAUUACGAAUAGUACCUUUACUAGAAAAUAAAUGGAUUUUUUUUAGUAAAUACCUAUUCCAGGAAAUAACGAAAAAAUUAAAAUAACACCGUACAAACCGACACUGGAGGAUGAGUAGAAUAUACUCAGGCGUAGAGAGAACCAUAUUAAAGGAACUCGGCAAAUUGCCUCCGUAACUUAGGGAUAAGGAGGACCGUUUUAUUAAAAAAAAAUGGUGGCACAAAAUCGGGAGCGACGACUGUUUACUAAAAACACAGGACUCUGCAAAGCGGUAACGCGAUAUAUAGGGUCUGACACCUGCCCGGUGCUGAAAACUUAAGUGGAGAGGUUUGUUGCUUAUUUUAUAAAAUUCAAGCUUUAAAAUUAAUGUUCAGUAAACGGCAGCUGUAACUAUAACAGUUCUAAGGUAGCGAAAUUUAUUGUCGGGUAAGUUCCGACCUGCAUGAAUGGUGUAACGAUUGCUCCGCUGUCUCUAAUAUGGUCUCAGUGAAAUUGAAUUCUCCGUGAAGAUGCGGAGUUCCCUAAACUAGACGAAUAGACCCUAAGCAUCUUUACUGCAAUUAUACGUUGAAAAAGGAUAUUGAAUGUAGAGGAUAGGUGGGAGUUUUUUAAACAUCCUUGAAAUACCACCCUUUCUAUAUCGUUUUUCUAAGCUUUAUUUUAUAUAUUAUAGCAACAGUGUAUAAUGGGUAGUUUGACUGGGGCGGUCGUUUUCUAAAGAGUAACGAAAACGUGCGAAGGUAAGCUCAAACUGGAAGGAAAUCAGUUGUAGAGCGUAAUGGUAUAAGCUUGCCUGACUGUAAGACUUACAAGUCAAGCAGAGACGAAAGUCGGCCAUAGUGACCCGGGAGUACUUCGUGGAAAGGCUCUCGCUCAACGGAUCAAAUGAUACGCUAGGGAUUCAGUUUGUAAGUCCCGCUUUAUAGAGAUAUAAAGGCAAUAACUGGGUGAAUUGCAAGAAGGCUAAGGAUUUUGGAUAUUAUAAAUAAUAUUUUUUUAUUAUAAAUAAUACCUUUAAUAUAUCUAUGCUAAUUUGCAGCGAAGUUCUUCGAAUAGAUAUUAUAUUAUUUAUUUUUAUAAAAUUAGUAGAAGAAAACGUUCAACGACUAGAGAAUGAGGAUAUCUUACCAAUAAAUUUUCCACGAGCGCCCAGCAACUUUUUAUUUUAUAUUAAUAAAAGUUGAUGACAUAGUCUGAACUAUAUGGAAACAUAUAGAAAUAGAAGAUAAACACUUCUAUGAUAACAUAAUUGAACAGGCUGAUGAUUCCCAAGAGCUCAUAUCGACGGAAUCGUUUGGCACCUCGAUUAAAUUAAGCCA
rnacentral:sRNA from 1 species